rnacentral:rRNA from 1 species
GUGGGGAAUAUUGGACAAUGGGGGGAACCCUGAUCCAGCCAUGCCGCGUGUGUGAAGAAGGCCUUUUGGUUGUAAAGCACUUUAAGUGGGGAGGAGGCUUACCUGGUUAAUACCUGGGCUAAGUGGACGUUACCCACAGAAUAAGCACCGGCUAACUCUGUGCCAGCAGCCGCGGUAAUACAGAGGGUGCGAGCGUUAAUCGGAUUUACUGGGCGUAAAGCGCGCGUAGGUUGUUAAUUAAGUCAAAUGUGAAAUCCCCGAGCUUGACUUGGGAAUUGCAUUCGAUACUGGUUGGCUAGAGUAUGGGAGAGGAUGGUAGAAUUCCAGGUGUAGCGGUGAAAUGCGUAGAGAUCUGGAGGAAUACCGAUGGCGAAGGCAGCCAUCUGGCCUAAUACUGACACUGAGGUGCGAAAGCAUGGGGAGCAAACAGGAUUAGAUACCCGAGUAGUCC